UACGAAGGGGGCUAGCGUUGCUCGGAAUCACUGGGCGUAAAGGGUGCGUAGGCGGGUCUUUUAAGUCAGAGGUGAAAUCCUGGAGCUCAACUCCAGAACUGCCUUUGAUACUGAGAAUCUUGAGUACGGGAGAGGUGAGUGGAACUGCGAGUGUAGAGGUGAAAUUCGUAGAUAUUCGCAAGAACACCAGUGGCGAAGGCGGCUCACUGGCCCGUAACUGACGCUGAGGCACGAAAGCGUGGGGAGCAAACAGG
rnacentral:rRNA from 1 species